GAAGGAGCAAAUUGUGAAUCGCAAUUUGUGUUGCAACUUUUGAGAAUAACAUGUGUCGAAUUUGCAACUCUUUGAGAAGCUAUAUAUAGCUUCAACAGACAUGUAAAAAAAACACAACUAAAAAACUCAAAACAACACUUAAUCUCCAUCUCAUUCAGUUCAUUAUUACAGUUUCAUAGAAGAUGGACUCACAACAAAACUUGAGCUACAAUGCUGGACAAGCCAAGGGCCAAGCUCAGGUCUUCCUCCACCUCUAGCUUCAGUUGGAAAAUUAGUGUUUUUUAAUGUCCUACAUUGCCUAAUUGUUGAGCUUUUAAAAAGUUUAAAUUACUUCAAUAUUUCCUUUAUGACAUUUAUUAACAAGUUUUUAUGCAAUUUCAGGAAAAGGCUAGCAGCAUGAUGGAUAAGGCUAGCAAUGCAGCUCAGUCUGCUAAAGAAUCAAUGCAACAGGUUAUUUAGAUAGAAUAUUUGUUUUCUCAUUUAGAUAGAAUUUAGAUAGAAUUUUUGUUUUCUCAUUUGGACAUUUGGAUAGAAUUUUUGUUUUCUCAUUUUCAAGGUACAGUGAUAUACAUGUUUAAUCAAAAAAAUAAAAAUAAAACUUUUUUUAUUUUGUAUAUGUAGGCUGGACAGCAAAUGCAGGAGAAAGCACAAGGAGCUGCUGAUGCUAUGAAGAAUGCAACAGGGACCAACCAAGGAAGAUAAAUGGAUGAUCAUCGUGCCAGAUUUUGUUUCCCUUUAAAUAAGCUAUGUUCUGCUGAUUAGUAUAUUUUGCAAAAAUAUGCAAAUUCCAUUUUAUAAUUUCCAAUGCAAUCAUUUUCCAUCAUCAAUUUUGUAAUACAAUUUCAUGAAUGAGUAGAAUAAAUUUUCAAAUUUGAAUGCCUGUAUUUCUUGAUGCUACC
rnacentral:lncRNA from 1 species